AUUGAACGCUGGCGGCAGGCCUAACACAUGCAAGUCGAACGAGAGGCGGACGGGUGAGUACUGUCUGGGCAACUGCCCGAUGGAGGGGGAUAACUCCUGGAACCGGUAGCUAAUACCGCAUACCAUCGGAUGUGCCCAGAUGGGAUUAGCUAGUAGGUGGGGUAACGGCUCACCUAGGCGACGAUCCCUAGCUGGUCUGUGAGGAUGACCAGCCACACUGGAACUGAGACACGGUCCAGACUCUUAAGGGAUGCAGCAGUGGGGAAUAUUGCACAAUGGGCGCAAGCCUGAUGCAGCCAUGUCGCGUGUAUGAAGAAGGCCUGCGGGUUGUAAAGUACUUUCAGCGAGGAGGCGUUACUCGCAGAAGAAGCACCGGCUAACUCCGUGCCAGCAGCCGCGGUAAUC
rnacentral:rRNA from 1 species